UGGAGGGAAGCACCUUAAUUCAGCACUGAAUCUGAAAUUCUGGGGCCAAGAUAUGAACAUCCAUGUUUUCACCGAAAGCUUUUUCAGUGAUUCUGAUGUAUGUGAAAACUAGUGUUUCAGAACUUACCAGACAACUUCUGUCACUUCUGGUUUGUUCCAUCCUGCUCUAAGAUGUGUCUUAGGUUUGCAGGACUCACCAGACUCUUAAAAGAUUUCCAUCAGAAAGGCAGUGGCAACCUUGAGCUUCCAGCACAAUGGAAAAUGCCUAGCAGUUUGUACAAGUCUGCGUGCUUCCUCCUGCCCUGCUCCCUGGAACUUGGGCUUUCUUCAGGGGUUCCCCCAACCCUGAAAGUGGAUCUGAAGGUGCUGAAUUCAACCUGAGGGCAAUGUGUGUAUGUUGUAGAGAAGAGGAUAAAGAAGCGAGUGUUUGGUUUACUGGCGCUGGCAUACACACAUUAAUUUAGGGUCUUCAUCUGCUUUGGUAGACAAAUCACAAACAUUUCCAUGAAUAACAGCGUCUGUUAUGCAAAUUGGUUUCCGUCUGCUGGUCUGUUGAGAAUAAUCUUCCAUAAUUACAACAGCUAUUUACUUACGGGCAAAUCAGCUUUCUCACCACCUUCUCCAUUCGAGAGAGGCCUCCAACUGCUGCUGGAGCCCAUGUGAUUGAGGGCUGAUGGACUCUGAUGUUGUGAGCCUGUUGUUUGAGUUUGUGGGUCCCAGGACAGAAGGAUCCACAGUACCGCCAGUCAACGAGUGGGGAUUAGGCUCCCUCAGGCUUCUCUGCACUAAGAUGUCCAGGACAUAGUCGUCACAAGUUUUAUAGCGAGUUGAGGAAACAAGGCAUGUGGAACUAAUGGAAGAGAAUUAAGCCCUGAAAUGUGUGGUUCUGCUUAGAAUGGAUGCAGUAAGCAUUUAGCAAAGAAGAUAUUAGUGUGAGCUGAAGAAUUAAUACUGACACGGCUUAUGGAGAGAAACUUGCCCUGGGCUUAUGAAGAGGGGAAGGAUUCCUGGAGAAGUCUCAGAUGGCAAGGACUUCCAGGCCCAGAGCAGAGGCUGGAGGAAGGAAUUCAUGGAACAUGACCUGAGUGCAGAGGAGAUGUGAUUAAGUUAAGAAUGUUGAGAUGGGAGGAUUCUCCUGGAUUGCUCAGGUCCUAAAAUAUUCUAAGAAAGUAAAUUUUGCUGAAAAAUGACUUCUGGAACAGACUUCAGGAAACAGAUGGCUCUAGAGUACUAUGUCGAUGAGAAUUUUGAAGACACAGUGUUUCAGAGAGCGAGAUGGUGACUGCUGUGAUUAGAAAUUUGAGAAGCAAUUGGUGGUUGAACAUGCAAUGGGGCAAACCAUUUUAACAUGAAUUGGGGAUGUGCCUGAGAAGACCCAACUUUCCCAAAGGAACCAAGAACACAGCCUUGGAAGAAAUGAGCUGGAAAUAUCGCGCUCAUCUAACCACUGAUGUAGAGCUAUAGAACACGUGACCAGUGACAGUCUGUGAGUGGACUCUCCAUGUGACUAAUUAUGACAUGGGAUUAUCUAUGCUCCUGGUUCCAGUUUAAGAAGAAAAUAAGAGAAAAUCUUUUAAAUUUCCUCCUUGAUGUCUCAUCAGAAUUGGAGCCGCUUUUCCUCUGCAAUACUGGUAUGUGGGUGAGAGGAGGAGGUUGUUGGAAGAAUGAUUGGAGUCUGGUGUCAGGAAUCCCUUGCCCUUCAAAGAGACAGUGUGCUGCUAUCUGGCUGCUUCCAUGAGCUGCAAAGUGGGUAAAACAUCUUCAGUUGGGUGGAUAGGAUAAGACUGUCAUUGACUGAUAUGCGCAACCUAAUUACUUCCUUAGUUACUUAAAGCUGGCUUCAUUUGUC
rnacentral:lncRNA from 1 species